AGUGGCGGACGGGUGAGUAACACGUGGGAACGUACCCUUAGGUUCGGAACAACACAGGGAAACUUGUGCUAAUACCGGAUAAGCCCUUCGGGGGAAAGAUUUAUCGCCUUUGGAGCGGCCCGCGUCUGAUUAGCUUGUUGGUGAGGUAACGGCUCACCAAGGCUACGAUCAGUAGCUGGUCUGAGAGGAUGGCCAGCCACACUGGGACUGAGACACGGCCCAGACUCCUACGGGAGGCAGCAGUGGGGAAUCUUGCGCAAUGGGCGAAAGCCUGACGCAGCCAUGCCGCGUGGAUGAUGAAGGUCUUAGGAUUGUAAAAUCCUUUCACCGGGGACGAU
rnacentral:rRNA from 1 species